rnacentral:rRNA from 1 species
AGUGAACGCUGGCGGUAGGCCUAACACAUGCAAGUCGAACGGCAGCACAGUAAGAGCUUGCUCUUACGGGUGGCGAGUGGCGGACGGGUGAGGAAUACAUCGGAAUCUACUUUUUCGUGGGGGAUAACGUAGGGAAACUUACGCUAAUACCGCAUACGACCUACGGGUGAAAGCAGGGGAUCUUCGGACCUUGCGCGAUUGAAUGAGCCGAUGUCGGAUUAGCUAGUUGGCGGGGUAAAGGCCCACCAAGGCGACGAUCCGUAGCUGGUCUGAGAGGAUGAUCAGCCACCCUGGAACUGGGACACGGUCCUGACUCCUACGGGAGGCAGCAGUGUGGAAUAUUGGACAAUGGGCGCAAGCCUGAUCCAGCCAUACCGCGUGGGUGAAGAAGGCCUUCGGGUUGUAAAGCCCUUUUGUUGGGAAAGAAAAGCAGCAGGUUAAUACCCCGCUGUUCUGACGGUACCCAAAGAAUAAGCACCGGCUAACUUCGUG